rnacentral:rRNA from 1 species
GGCUUGCAAUCAUCUUGUGUUAACUCUGACAGUAUGGUGGUGAUUGAAACAAUGAAGAAUGGAAGACAUUCGGUGGGAGCAGCGGCAGCAUUGUUUGGUGAUUGUUAUUUCAUAGCUUGUGAUUUUCCUCUUGUUAGGUUUGAACAUUGUUAUCGGGAAGUAAAUAAGGUGGCUCACGAACUUGCUAGGCUAGCGGAAUUUUCACUCCUAGGGGAUUUUGAGGAGCCUGUGAGGGAUGUUGUACAUUUACUUAUUGACGAUGUAACAAUUAUUUCUAAUUAA